UUCUACUUUUGUGGCUAACUUCACAAUACAUAACCAUAUCAGAUCAGGCCCCACUAGCCAGACGAAGCUAGGUGGCUGCUUUAACGUUAGCUUUGGGAAACAGGGUAGCUCGUUUUUUUCUUCGUGAACUGAAGUUCAAUUUCAAUAGGCGAACAACAAGUGGCUACCUAGUGAAUACUUACUCACAAGGAUUCCCAAAUCAUUGCUAAGAAUAUUGAAAAUGACUGCAGUUUCUACUGGUAAUUGUUUUCAGGCUGGUUGCACAUUGGUGCUAACAAUCCCAGAAGUUGCUAAUAACAUCUGCAUCAAAGAUAUUUGCCAUUUUUAAAAUCCGGCUUGUUUGGUGGCGGUUGGCUUGCACGUGCAAAUGCAGCACACACACAACAAUCUAUAAUACAAUUGUGUUAUUUGACGUGUCGAAUAUUGUAUCUUUUUGACGAGCAAAGACCCAAACGGCGUUCCAUAGUAUGUUGUUGGGGUCUGUCGAAAUAGAACGACGUCAUGCUUGGAUCAGCUGCAUUUUACUUCAGACAAUGAUGCUUGAUGGCAGACAUUUUUCCUAGAGGAUUACAGUCAGCUUGUGUUGUCAGGCCUGUCUAUCCCUCUCUAGAUGGACAAUAUGCUGGAUAAAGACGUGGAUGACUCCAUAGAAUGUAAUACAACUUUAUAAUCCAUUGGUGAGAAUGGAUAAUGUCUUCUCCCUUUCCCAACACAAACAAAUACACACAAGUUGACACAGCAGCAGUGCAGAGCCCCAGGAUGGAGGGGUGCUGCACUGCAGGGUGUUGGGAAAAGCAGGAGGCACAUUUCUGUGCUAAUGUACAAUAAAGUAUCGGAUCCCUCCAUGUCAUUGUCAAAAGGUCUCUUUGCACAUCUCUUCACCCACACCACUGUUUCUAUUGCCCCACUGUACAAGUAUUCCUUGUAUUGUACUACACUGCCAUUACUGAAUGUAUGGCUACUAAUUGUGCUAAAGUAUCCUGUAUGUUCAGAACAAACGUUAGGUUUUACUAUGCCUACUUAAAUAUGACAAAGACUAAUGUCGUUAUUACAAUGCCUACUUUGAUUAUUGUGAAUGACUUGUUUAUUGUGAAAGAUGAAGAAUUCACAUAUGUUUACUUUGCCAACCAAUGAAAGAGCGGAAAAGAGAGAACUAAAAUUAUCACUUAGAACUUGAUGGGUUAAAUGAAAUACUAACUGAAAUCUGGAAA